rnacentral:rRNA from 1 species
AGAGGGUGCAAACGUUGUUCGGAAUUACUGGGCGUAAAGCGUGUGUAGGCGGUUUCAUAAGUCGGGCGUGAAAGCCCCGGGCUCAACCCGGGAAGUGCACUCGAUACUGUGGAACUUGAGUUUCGGAGAGGUUGGUAGAAUUCUUGGUGUAGAGGUGAAAUUCGUAGAUAUCAAGAGGAAUACCGGUGGCGAAGGCGGCCAACUGGACGAAAACUGACGCUGAGACACGAAAGCAUGGGGAGCAAACAGGAUUAGAUACCCUGGUAGUCCAUGCCGUAAACGAUGGGUGCUGGGGUUCACGGGCAUUGACUCUCGUGGGCCCGUAGCUAACGCGUUAAGCACCCCGCCUGGGGAGUACGGCCGCAAGGCUA